rnacentral:rRNA from 1 species
UACGUAGGGGGCUAGCGUUGUCCGGAAUCAUUGGGCGUAAAGAGCGCGUAGGCGGUCCGGUCAGUCCGCUGUGAAAGUCAGGGGCUCAACCCCUGAAUGCCGGUGGAUACUGCCGGGCUAGAGUCCGGAAGAGGCGAGUGGAAUUCCUGGUGUAGCGGUGAAAUGCGCAGAUAUCAGGAAGAACACCUAUGGCGAAGGCAGCUCGCUGGGACGUGACUGACGCUGAGGCGCGAAAGCGUGGGGAGCAAACAGG